CCAUUAUCCAGCUUCCUAACCUUAAGGAUGAGACCCUAUCAAUAUUGCCUCUGCUUUUGUGCUCAGGGUAGUAGUGCAAUAUUGCUUAUAGGGUCUUUUCUUUUGAGGGUAUUCUUCAUGGAGAGAAGACAGCCACAGCAGGAAAAAUUAAUCCUAUGUGCCCAUCGAGUUAAGGGAAAAGUUGUGAAAUACCAAGCAUUGUUAGAUAGGCAAGUAAUUGUGCAGAGAUGUUAUGUGUGACAAAUAAUCAUGCUAUUGUGGUGACUCAAGUUGUGAGUAAUGGGCAUAUUUUUGAUGCUAUCACACGGGAUUCAAAAUGGCCUUGUGUUUAAGAGGCACAAGCAGUGAUUGAAACCGCAGAAACCCAUCACGUCUCCAUUUUAAAACAGUACAAGUCCCGAGAUGUUUGAAGGGUGCCUAUUUUGCAUAACGAUGUAAACACCCACAAGGAAUGGGAGGAGAUAUAUAGCCACACUCGGCUGUUCCUGUGCCUGAAAAUCAGUGCUGCGCAAAGCAGAGCGUUGCACGAAGUGCCUGAGGCUCUAAUCCCGAUAACGUCCUCUAAACAAAGCUCACGCCUCUGCCUGGCGAACGCGGCCGGGCUCCGCAGCCCGGGCUUGGUGCAGGCAUGGCUGGGCUGGGCAUUGCCCCCAGCCUUUCCCGAGAGCUGCUUAUGGAGGUACGUGGGAAAGGAGCAGGGCCGGAGGCGUUCAAUCUCAAUCUCCUCUCGGCUUUGUGAGAAAUCAGCUGGGGGCUGACAGCAGCCGGGCUGGCGGGGUGGGUGGCCUUGCCUUCCAUUUCAGGUGGUCGCCGCGGUCCCUUUCGGGACCUCUGGGGCCCAGGCAGAGGGGUGGUGGGAGGGGAUUGGGGCCGGCUCAGGGUGCGGCGGAGCGGCCGCAGCCGCGGGGCUUUCAUAGCCGCUCUCCGGGCAGCGCGGGGCCGUGUUCUCUCCGCGGUGGUGGGCGCGGGAGGGCGAGAAGCCCUACAGGACCGCUGCCUCCCGCCUGCUCGCCCGACCCCGGCCCUGCCCUCUACGUAACCCCCCGGGCAUCACUCCGAGGGGAGGCGACCAGCUAAGGGACAAAGCCAGGCAAUCCCCCCCCCACCUCAAAGCCCGGGCUCUCCCUCCGUGCCCCAGUCCGGCGGCCAGGGCCACCGGGCGGGCUGCCCCUCUUUCCCUGUUGCACUACUGUCACGGUCGCAGCGAGCAGUGCAAUAAUGAAAGGGCGUCAGUGCGCCGGGGAGCGGCGAGAGCCGGGCCCAGCCGGUGUAACAGCGGCCGGGGAAGAGACGGGCCGUCCCGCCGGGCCCCCAAGAGCCACUCGAGCGGGGCGGGGGUCGCCGCGCUGCUCGCUCUGUCGGAACGCGCAGUGCUAGGAGAGCAGUCCGGCCUUGGCCAUCCGCGUAAAUAAAGUGCCUUCCCACGUUCCCGUCACUGCCUUUUCUUCCGGGCGGGUUUUCUUGCAGGUCUCCAGCCCCUCCUGCCUCCCCAGCGGCGGCCCCUCGACGGGUUUUUGUCGGGUCGUCCAGCGUGCUAAUAGCCCGCUUGUUCUUUGUGGGAAGUGGGUGAAAAUGGAAGAUGAGUGUCUUCCUUAGCCACGCAGCCUAAAAAACAGGCUCGAAGCAUGUCCCUGUGCCGGGUUGAGCAGCGGGGCUGAGGGGAGAAUUGGGUGAGCUGUUUACAGUAAUGGACAUCAGACUGGUGGUGUGGCUGGGAGCUGUGCUGGGAAGGCCAGGAAAUAGUCCUCUGAUUAUUAGUGGCCAUGGUGAAAUGGAUACUUCUAUAAAAGAAGGCUGGGGAGGGCUAUUUCCUUUAGCAAAGGACCUUUCCACUCUGGCCUUUUGAACCUGCACUUCGGGGCCCUGUUCCUGCUUCAUCAUGAGUUUUUGCAGAGGAAGGAGCUGCUGAGUCAAUCACGGAAAAGGGGAGGUGAAAUGGGGGCUGCUCUUUAGCCAUUUUUCAAUUGGUGAAUGAAACAGGAAAGGACAAAUGCAAGAAGAAAAAAAGAGUGAUUACUUCCACUUUGGUGCAUUACUGAGAAAGAGGGACAUCUCUUUGGCUAAAGACUAUAACAAUAAUGGGAAACCACUGUGCUCCUGAGAUCCAGCACCUUGAAUAAAGGACUUGACUGGGCAAGGAGCUGAUGGCAGAUAAAUAACAAUGAAUUAGGGGGAAAGCCUGCAAACGCUGUUUGGCUAAAAGCAAGAGGAAAUCCACCUCUUAGUUUUCACCUGAUUCCAUCUUUAGACAUGUAUCACCAUCUUCCACCACCUCCAUGACCUCACACAUCUUCACCUUUGCUGAGCUUAGCUGAACCCCAUGGCUGAGGCUGUUGUGAAGCCACUGAGAAGGACUGCCCUGACCAUGCCAAAAUAAAAGGACAAAGUACAUUGUGUGUGCAUGCUUUCAAACAGCACAAGCUUGCUUGGCAAUUCACUCUGGGCAGCCCAUGAGAGGACUCUCACUCAGCCCCAGAGCCCUCUAAGCCCAGAAAAUGGAGUUUAAGUCUUUUUCACUUUCUAGAAAACAUGAUCCUAUGGAUCUGGCCUUUUAAAAUAGUAAUCAGAACAGCAAACAGCGUGCCUGGCUUUGGUUGACAGAUACACAACAGAGGCAAAGAAGGCAAACAGCAGGCUUUUCAGUUAGUUUACACAGGGGGCACUUAAAUACUGUAUGGGUUACAUAAUACCAUUUGGGGGUUGGGGUUUUACACAUACUUCUAUUAAAUAUAUCUGUGACAUUUGUUUUAAAGUGAUCAACAUAAAUCCAGCCACAGCUUUAAGAGGAAAACUCUUGUGAUUAGAUCUAAUAACACCAGGUAGCUCAUAAUAUAUUUACUGGAAACGAAUGCACAAUAGAUUUCUGAGCCCCACCCCCCAACUGUUGGAAAACCUUGCGCUCACUCUCCUUCAGUGGAGGGUGUCACUCUGCCUGUAGAAGGGCUGCCAUAGAUAGUCACUUCCCUGCAAGAAGCAAAGGCUGCUGGUUUUUAGGGCCAUAUCCUGCUACUGGUUCCACAUCCAGCCCUCAAGAUUAAUCCAACACAGACCAAAGACACGAUGUGGUCUGGCAAUUACGACAAAGUGCUAAGCAAGAAGGCAAGGCAUACUUUAAUAGUAAUAAUUUAAAAAAUCCUAGAGCCUUCUUAGCUGAAAUUUAUUAGGGGAAAAAAACAAAAAACAAAAACAAACAAAAACCCCCACCAACCACUGUUCAUUGUUAUCUCCUGAGAAUCCCACUCACAUAGGUUUCCUGAAAGCAUAUUCUCUUCCCAAUAAGCCUUCUAGUAAGCAUCCUGUUGCCAUCCAGAGGGAGUAGCAGGUGGCCAAACUGCUCCGCGGAGGCUUGACAAUGGCAUUAGCCACCCAGCUUUUCAGCUGAAGCCUCUCUCAGUCAGCACACAACUCAUCAGACUCCAUCUAAACCCUUCCUCAGAACAGUGAGCUUCCCCAGCAAGGCCUGGAUCUAGUAGCUCCACAUCCUUACAAAGCACCCACUGCACAGAAGUCAGCAGAUGGGAAGAAGUGUCUCCAACUUUCACAGCUUUAGAACCGUGCUCUUCUCUUUAAUGUGCUGUCACCAGAAGCUCCACGGGCAGAGAUCAGUGCCAUAAGGACCUAGCAGAACAGCAGGUAGGUGACUGAUUGAGAAUGGAAGUUCUUUAUUAGCAAACCAAAACCAUCCGCAUGGCACUGCACAGAAGUAGGUACACUGCGAGAACUCAGUGUCAAACACCAAUUUGGUAGAAAUCCUGCUUGCUUACCUCGGAGGUGGGAGUGCCUUGUAUUGUAAACCUUAGGUCUUUUAAACCUCCUUAGGUCUUGUAAACAUCCUUAGACGCGUGGAAUGAUCAAAUGUCAAUUAUAAUAAUAUAC
rnacentral:lncRNA from 1 species